CUGCCAAAGUGAGCACAUAUUCUAAAAUUGGGUUGACACACAGAAGAUUAGCAUGGCCCCUGUGCAAGGAUGACAUGCAACUGUGCAAGGUUGUUCCAUAUUAG
rnacentral:snRNA from 1 species